rnacentral:rRNA from 1 species
AUUGAACGCUGGCGGCAUGCCUUACACAUGCAAGUCGAACGGUAACGGGCCUUCGGGUGCCGACGAGUGGCGAACGGGGGAGUAAUGUAUCGGAACGUACCUUUCAGUGGGGGAUAACGUAGCGAAAGUUACGCUAAUACCGCAUAUUCUGUGAGCAGGAAAGCAGGGGAUCGCAAGACCUUGCGUUGAUUGAGCGGCCGAUAUCAGAUUAGCUAGUUGGUGAGGUAAAGGCUCACCAAGGCGACGAUCUGUAGCGGGUCUGAGAGGAUGAUCCGCCACACUGGAACUGAGACACGGUCCAGACUCCUACGGGAGGCAGCAGUGGGGAAUUUUGGACAAUGGGGGCAACCCUGAUCCAGCCAUGCCGCGUGAGUGAAGAAGGCCUUCGGGUUGUAAAGCUCUUUCGGCCGGGAAGAAAUCGUAUCAGCUAAUACCUGGUGCGGAUGACGGUACCGGCAUAAGAAGCACCGGCUAACUACGUGCCAGCAGCCGCCGUAACAC